UACGAGGGGGGCAAGCGUUGUUCGGAAUUAUUGGGCGUAAAGGGCGCGUAGGCGGCCGAAUAAGUCUGACGUGAAAUCCCCCGGCCCAACCGGGGAACUGCGUUUGAUACUGUUUGGCUCGAGUCCGGGAGAGGGUAGUGGAAUUCCCAGUGUAGCGGUGAAAUGCGUAGAUAUUAGCAGGAACACCGGUGGCGAAGGCGGCUAUCUGGACGACAACUGACGCUGAGGCGCGAAAGCGUGGGGAUCAAACAGG
rnacentral:rRNA from 1 species